UACAACAUAGCAUUAAUGCACCGGAUCCCAUUAGAACUCUGCAGUUAAGCACACUCAAUCUAGAGUAGUACAGGGAUGGGUGAAUUCCUGGGAAUUCCUAGUGUCUUAC
rnacentral:rRNA from 1 species